AUAGCUGUUGUACGUGCUGCUGUAGCGGCGGUUUUCUUAGUGUGUUUCUCAAAGAUGAAGAAGAGCAACUAAAACUUGAAAACUAUGGAGUAAACUCUUAACAGUAGAACUAUAAUAUCUGCAGAUUGCUUGUAUCGUAAAGAAAAAUGUAAUCUUUAGCAUUGUGUAGUUGAAAUAAUAUUCACUGUUAAACAAGGUACCUCUUAAGUUCGAG
rnacentral:misc_RNA from 1 species